rnacentral:misc_RNA from 1 species
GAUGAAGAACGUAGCGAAAUGCGAUAAGUAAUGUGAAUUGCAGAAUUCAGUGAAUCAUCGAAUCUUUGAACGCACAUUGCGCCCUUUGGUAUUCCUUAGGGCAUGCCUGUUCGAGCGUCAUUUAAACCUUCAAGCUAAGCUUGGUGUUGGGUGACUGUCCGCCUCACGGCGGACUCGCCUCAAAAUUAUUGGCGGCCGGUACAUUGGCUUCGAGCGCAGCAGAAACGCGAACUCGGGCCCGUCGUAUUGGCUCCCAGAAGCUAUCUUCACAAUUUUGACCUCGGAUCAGGUAGGGAUACCCGCUGAACUUAAGCAUAUCAAUAAGCGGAGGA